GGGUUAGGGUUUUCAUUUCACUUGAGAGUAUUUCUUAGAGGAGGCAAAAAUAACAAUGAGUUGAAGGAUGAAUUUUUGAGGGGAAUGUUGGCUGGCUCGAGGCUUUUGAGUUUGACAAAGGAGAUAGAUAUUUCAUUCCAUCUUGGAAGAACUAUAAGGCUUCGGACCAGGCUUCAUUCCCCUCAAAGUUUUUUAAAUAUCAUGAAAUCAAUCUUCAUAAUGCAAGAGUCGGUUGAGAGGAACGUUGUCUGGCUCGAGGAGAUAAAGAUGGUUGAAGAGAAUACUUUCUCAUCAUUCAUUCACUCUCAACCUCGGACCAGGCUUCAUUCCCCCCACCCAACUUUUGCUAUAGUACUAAUUAAUUAUUUCUUCUGUUCCUUUGCUUUUGGUGGUUAAAAAGUAUGUGGAGGUGCAAGUGUUGAGAGAAGAAGAAGAAGAAGGAACAGUGGUGAUGAAUGUGUGUUAGUUUAGUGGUAUAUAUAAUAAUAUUGUGAGCAAUGCAAUGCAGGGGCCCUCUCUUACGGUUGAGAAGAAACAGUGCAGGAAUGUUUGUUUCACGUGGCUAGCCACAACAACAUAAUGAACAGUUAUGAAAUUAAACCUAUCACAACUCAAAUUCUCUUCUUUCUUAGGACCUAGUAUUACCUACCAAGCUACCUCUUUCAAUAACAGUAACACCCCUCUUCAAAUUGUUGUUUCUUUUUCAUGAAUGUACUUCAGGCAAAUUAAUUAACACAUGCCUAGUAAAUGACUAGUUAUGUAUAAUUUAAUUUACUAUUGUGCAGACCACACUAAAUAUAUGAUGUGAUGUCAUUAGAAAGAUGAUGUAUGUAUAGUGUUGAAUUAAUAAUUGUUUAUUGUUUUAUUUUAGUGAAAAUGGAAGGUAUUAUUAGGUGUGAGAAAUGAAGAUGUGGUGGAACAGGAGAAGCUAGGUAGAGUAGGGUAUCUGUGUGUAUAUAAGCAAGAAAGAAAUGAGAUAGAUAUCUGCAUGAUGAUGAUGAUAAUGAUAAUGAUGAUGCAAUACUUAACCUCAAAAUAGGAGAUACUGUAUUCAUUAAAGACAACAUGUACAGUGAUUCCAUUUCUAUGUUUUAGUGUAAUGUAUUUAAUGGAGAUUUUUAAGUUGUUGGAAA